UGAGUGCGAGCUGCUACGGCAGCGAAGUUGGUGAUGUCAUGCUUCCAAGAAAAGCCCUAUACCCGUUAAGGCAUCAUGGCCUGUACCCGAAACCGACACAGGUGGGGUGGUAGAGAAUACCGAGGGGCGCGAGGUAACUCUCUCUAAGGAACUCGGCAAAAUGGCCCCGUAACUUCGGGAGAAGGGGUGCCACCGCAAGGUGGUCGCAGUGAAGAGGCCCAGGCGACUGUUUACCAAAAACACAGGUCUCCGCUAAGUCGCAAGACGAUGUAUGGGGGCUGACGUCUGCCCAGUGCCGGAAGGUUAAGGAAGCUGGUCAGCGCAAGCGAAGCUAGCGACUGAAGCCCCGGUGAACGGCGGCCGUAACAAUAACGGUCCUAAGGUAGCGAAAUUCCUUGUCGGGUAAGUUCCGACCCGCACGAAAGGCGUAACGAUCUGGGCGCUGUCUCGGAGAGAGGCUCGGCGAAAUAGAAUUGUCUGUGAAGAUGCGGACUACGUGCACCCGGACAGAAAGACCCUAUGAAGCUUUACUGUAGCUUGGUAUUGUGCCCGGGCUCGCAAUGCGCAGGAUAGGUGGGAGGCUUUGAUCAUCGGCUUGCGGGUCGAUGUGAGCCAACGGUGAGAUACCACUCUUUGCGAGCUAGGGUUCUAACGGCUACCCGUCAUCCAGGGGCCGGACAGUACCUGGUGGGCAGUUUGACUGGGGCGGUCGCCUCCUAAAAGGUAACGGAGGCGCGCAAAGGUUUGCUCAGGCUGGUUGGAAAUCAGCCGACGAGUGUAAAAGCAGAAGCAAGCUUGACUGUGAGACCAACAAGUCGAACAGGGAGGAAACACGGCUUUAGUGAUCCGACGGUUCUGAGUGGAAGGGCCGUCGCUCAACGGAUAAAAGUUACUCUAAGGAUAACAGGCUGAUCUCCCCCAAGAGUUCACGUCGACGGGGAGGUUUGGCACCUCGAUGUCGGCUCAUCGCAACCUGGGGCUGAAGUCGGUCCCAAGGGUUGGGCUGUUCGCCCAUUAAAGCGGUACGCGAGCUGGGUUCAGAACGUCGUGAGACAGUUCGGUCCAUAUCCGGUGCACGCGCAGGAAUAUUGAGAGGAUUUCUCCCUAGUACGAGAGGACCGGGAGGAACGCACCUCUGGUGUACCAGUUAUCGUGCCAACGGUAAACGCUGGGUAGCCAUGUGCGGAGUGGAUAACCGCUGAAAGCAUCUAAGUGGGAAGCCCACCUCAAGAUGAGUAUUCCCAUGGCGUAAGCCAGUAAGGUCACGGGAAGAACACCCGUUGAUAGGCUCUAUGUGGAAGCGCAGUAAUGCGUGAAGCAGAGGAGUACUAAUAGACCGAGGGCUUGAC
rnacentral:rRNA from 1 species